GAUUAGGCAGUAUUUUGUGUAGGCUAGUACCGAGCACUACCUCCACUCCACCUCUGCUUUCUGGUGAGCUCUCUCUGUCUCUCUCUGUUUUUGCAGUGUUUUUACUCUGAUUUCAGUCACGAUCAGUUCUAUUCAAACACGUUCAGGUACUAAUUUCAAUUCCCCCCACAAAAUCAUGUAUUUAUUUGUAUAGACAUAGCAAUUAUUUACUUGGAAUUCAGUCAACCCAGUGCAGAUUUUCCAUUGAAAUUAUUCAAAUUGUUUGCAGAUUAGUACCAAGAUUAACUUAGUUAAUAUACUCAUCUAAUCAUCAAACGAUCUGCUGUUUUUAUAUGAUUAUAAGCUUGCAGUUCAAUUCUAUUGUAUUGGGUCAAUUUUUUCUAUUUUAAUUAUUACCUUUUCAUUUUCAAAUUGAAGCCCUUUUAGUUUGGUACUAAUCUCUUUCCCAUAAAUGGAGAUGUUAAACAGAUUCAUGCUUUUAUAGUUGUAGAUAUUUUUAAAUUUUUUUUUCCUUUUAUAUAUAUUUUUGUGAGAUUGUUUGAAUUGCCAGGUACCGGUAUGUGUAAUUCUUUUUAUUUUUUUAAUUGAAGAAUUAUUUACACAUUGAAUCCAAAUAACAUGUUGAAAUCUUGUGAGUAUUUAAUGGUCCAAUAUAGUAUGGGAGCCACUAUUCCCACUUCACUUUGUUCUAAAUACACUCUCUUAUUUGCUCCAAAUACAUUAAUACCCUUGGAAUUUUGAUUUUUUCAGGGAGUUUAUUUUGUGUGAAAGUGUAUUAAUGUAACUAUGUAUAAUAAAAGACAAAGAAAGGAGUGUAUUUGGAGCAAAGUGGGGUGGGCAUAGCGGCUCCCUACAGUAAUCAGUUUAUUCUAAGAACUUGAUAUAUUUCGGCUUUGUUUGGAUCAUGAUAGGGGUAGGGAUUUGGAAAGAGAGAAAAGAGUGUGUGAAAUGUGGAUGAAAUAUGUAUUUGGAUCAUGGAUUUGAAAGGGAAAAAGAAAAAUAUGAGUGAAAUGUCAAUGAAAUAUAGCUAUAUUUUACCAACCUUUCAUGUACAUUUUCCUUCUCUCUUUCCAAAUUCCUACCCAAAUUAAUGAUCCAAAUGCAGUCUCCAGUAAUUAUACUAAACCUACAAAUGGAUGGAAAAUUUGGAAAUGAUGGGAAGGAUUUGCAAAUUUUGGUAACCAUAUUGACUCUCUCUCCAUUAAGGCUCUCAAGUUUAGUAUUUAAUUAAUUGAUUUUUAAAUAAUUGUACUAUGUACUGGGUUACUUAUUACUGGAAUGUUAGAGUCAGCUAAUGGGGCAGUGUUUUCAAGAAAAAUGGCAUCAGAACCGGUCAAUGUGAAUGAGUUCCAGGAAUUGGCAAGGCGAGCUCUUCUGAAGAUGUACUUUGACUUCUACAAUGGGGGAGCUGAGGACCAACACACGCUAAGAGAGAACACGGAAGCGUUCCUUAGAAUCACUUUUCGGCCAAGAGUUCUUGUAGAUGUGAGCAGAAUAGAUAUGUCAACCACUAUAUUGGGUUACCCAACUUCGGCACCAAUCAUGAUCGCUCCAACUGGAUUGCAUAAGUUGGCUCAUCCUGAAGGAGAGGUUGCGACAGCCAGAGCAGCUGCUGCAUGUAACACCAUCAUGGCAAUGUCCUUUGCGGCCGACUGCACCGUGGAGGAGGUUGCUUCCAGUUUCAAUGCCAUUCGCUUUUUUCAAACAUAUGUAUGUAAAAGAAGGGAUGUAACAGUUGUGUUAGUGCAAAGAGCCGAAAGAAAUGGGUUCAAGGCUAUUAUGCUUACUGUUGAUACUCCUAGGCUUGGUCGUAGGGAAGCAGACAUUAAGAACAAAAUGAUUGCGCCUCAGCAGAAGAACUUAGAAGGUCUCUUGUCAACUGAAGCAGUUUCGGAUAACGGCUCAAAGCUUGCAGCUUUUGCAGCAGAGACGCUUGAUCCUUCUCUGUGUUGGAAGGACAUAGACUGGUUAAAGUCAGUCACUAAUUUGCCAAUUCUAGUCAAAGGGGUCCUCACUGCUGAGGAUGCAAUAAAAGCUAUGGAAGUAGGGGUUGCUGGGAUUGUUGUCUCUAACCACGGAGCUCGCCAACUGGAUUAUUCUCCAGCCACUAUCACUGUUCUGGAAGAGAAUAUGUUUUCCGGAACAUAAGAUGGAGGUGGCGGGAUGAAGGUGGAGGUGGUGGCGUGGUGGUGGGGUGGUGGGGUGGCGGAGGUGGUGAUGUUGACAGUGAUGGUGACAGUGAUCGUGGAGGUGAUGGUGGCAGUCGUAGUGUGGGAUAUUGGUUAAACUUUAGUUCGAAAAAUAUUUUCUACAUUUGAAAGAUAAAUGGCAUCUGAACCAGUCAAUGUGAAUGAGUUCCAGGAACUGGCAAGGCAAGCCCUUCCAAACAUGUACUUUGACUUCUACAAUGGGCAGAGCUGAGGACAAACACACGCUAAGAAUGAAUGUGGAAGCAUUUUGCAGAAUCAUCUUUAAGUGUAACACCUCUUAUUCCUAUCAGCAAACAACCACACCAUUUUAAAUCACCUUUCUUUGAACUUUCUCAGUACUUUGUUGAGAAUUCUUGUAGAUGUGAGCAGAAUAGAUAUGUCAACUACUAUAUUUGGUUACCAUACUUCGGCACCAAUCAUGAUUGCUCCAGCUGCAAUGCAUAAAUUGGCUCAUCCUGAAGGUCUAAAUUCAGUUACAAGAGCUUUCGAGUGAAAUUUUUGUGUAGUUCUGCUAUCAGCUUUUUCUGUACCAGGAGAGAUCGCGACAACCCGAGCAGCAGCUUCACCUCAUGGUAUUUAAAAGAAGGAAUGUGAUAGCUCUGUUAGUGCAAAGAGCCGAGCAAAAUGGUUUCAAGGCUAUUAUUCUUACUGUUGAUGCUCCUAGGCUUGGUUGAAGAGAGGCAGACAUAAUGAAUAAGUGAAAUUUUAUUACUUUCUCUUCAAUGUCCUUCACAUUUUGUAACCUUUUAUCACCCUUAUAUUUGGAAACGGUUUGAUAUUUAGUAUCUAACAUUAUAAGAAUUUUUCCCCAUGCAUCAUGAUUCUAAUCCAAACACGAUCAUUCCAUACAGAAGGAUUGUGCCUCAGUUGAAGAACUGUGAAGGUCUCUACAAUUUGGUUUUUGACCACGUGUUUUGGGAUGCGUAUAUUCAUGAUCGCUCUUCCCAAAAACUAAAAA